rnacentral:rRNA from 1 species
GCAUAAGACCCCAGUACCGCAUGGUACAGGGGUAAAAACUGAGGUGGUGUAAGAUGGGCCCGCGUCUGAUUAGGUAGUUGGUGGGGUAGAAGCCUACCAAGCCGACGAUCAGUAGCCGACCUGAGAGGGCGACCGGCCACAUUGGGACUGAGACACGGCCCAAACUCCUACGGGAGGCAGCAGUGGGGAAUAUUGCACAAUGGGGGAAACCCUGAUGCAGCGACGCCGCGUGAGUGAGGAAGUAUUUCGGUAUGUAAAGCUCUAUCAGCAGGNAANAAAAUGACGNUACCUGACUAAGAAGCCCCGGCUAACUACGUGCCAGCAGCCGCGGUAAUACGUAGGGGGCAAGCGUUAUCCGGAUUUACUGGGUGUAAAGGGAGCGUAGACGGAAUUGCAAGUCUGAUGUGAAAAUCCGGGGCCCAACCCCGGAACUGCAUUGGAAACUGUAUUUCUAGAGUGUCGGAGAGGCAAGUGGAWUUCCUGGUGUAGCGGUGAAAUGCGUAGAUAUCAGGAGGAACACCAGUGGCGAAGGCGGCUUGCUGGACGAUGACUGACGUUGAGGCUCGAAAGCGUGGGGAGCAAACAGGAUUAGAUACCCUGGUAGUCCACGCCGUAACGAUGACUACUANGUGU